UUCUGUGAUUCAGUGCGAUUCUGUGAAAUACUGCAUAAACAAGUAUUUUAGUUUCACAGGUCUUUGUCACAGUCUUCUUAGUCUAAGCAAUGAAAACUAGAGGCUUCAGAACUGUUUAACUGUUUAAAGGAGGAAAUGCAGAAAGAACUCUUUAGAAUCCACAAAAUACGCUACUUUGGGAAGAAAGACUUUCUGGUAAGAUCUAAGGCCAAGCCCCACCCAAGUGUGGAAGAGCCCACAAGUAUAGUGAUUUUCACAAGAGCAAGAAAAUGUUAACACCAGCUAUAUUUUGAUGAUGAUGGUUAACAGUCAUCCUUUCAGAAUUCAGCACAACACUCCACAGCCCAUGUCUUAAACAGUUGCAUCAUGUUCCCGUGAGCUAUCAACCACCUGUGUCCCUGCUCAGUUCUGGAGGGCUCUGCUUUGCACAGCAGCAUAAUGGAACUGCUCUGUACACUACAAGUGCUGCUUGCUGGUGCAGCUAUGCCUGUGCUCAGGGAUUUGUAUCCCAUGUCAGUGAGGAGUCCACAUCCUCCUGGCCCUCUUGCAGAACAAGGCCUCGCCUGCAGGAGUCUGCAGAUCAACUGGCAUUGAAAUGAUUGCCGAGUAGCAGGGAAGGGAGAGAGACAUAAAUAGUAGAAAGAAAAUCAUAAAUUUUAAAUAACUAAACUUUAUGCAAGUCUGGGUCAUUGACUUUUGGAUAUAACACAGAUGUACUGUGCUCUGGAACCUGUGUGACUUUUUGGCCUCCCAGCCAGCCAUGUAAGGUAACAGCUGUACAACCCUUUCUGUCAGAUCCAUUCUGUUCAUACAGACUUCAGCUGAAUGCAGAACACUGUCGGUGCAUAAAGCAAGAAAUUCUGGGAAAGUGCACUCUAUUGGCUUCAAAUAUCAAAAAGGCUGUUCUGGUUGUGGGUGUAAGUGCAUGCUAGCGUAUGCACAAGAGCAGUCACAUUGUGUAAGUCUGGGUGCCUAAUUUAGGAACAUAGCUGUGCAAGGUUCCCUGUAUGGUCUGUGGAGAGAAAAUCCUUCCUUAGAGAGACUCAGAGCAGCAGCUGAACUGUUCUUCCAUUCAGCGUUAUAAAAAUGACACACUUAAAAUCUCAAAUAACUGUAUGAAACUCUUUACAGCAUUAAGUAGUCUGGUAAAUAUCUACAUUUGCACAGAGCUGUAAGAUCUGUGUUUCUUUACAGCUUCUUCAGUCUAUUUUGAAUCUUUUAAUAUGCUGUGGUGUAUGGAACGGAAAAUUAAGGCUUUUGAUUUAUGUGCUGCUGCUUUGCCACUUUUGGCCGCAGUAAAAUGUUAGAUGACAACUAAUAUUUAGUCAUACGAGUAACUGAAGUGGUUGUAUCAGGGAGCAAAGGGAAUGGAUAAUUAAUCUUCCUAAUAGUUUCUGUAUGCUGGAAGAGACAGGGUGGUUCUAUAGCAGAGAAAUAAAUAGAGAAGCACUCCCAGUACCUCAAGCUGCAAGGAUCAGAUAAAGACCAAGCUGCUGCAAAACGUGUUUUGGCGAGCAGUGCCAGCUUGAUGGGCACAUUAAGAGUUAGCGUUAAAAUAACAGACAAGCCUACGUGCAUGAAUAAUCUUGGUAAAAUACACAUCCCUUUCCCUCAACUUCUUGUGAGGCCACUUUUUUUUUCAAAAGUUUUGGCAAAUGUUCUGUUAUUUUUUGAAAAGAUUCAUCUAUCUUCUUUCUGAAUUAGCUUUGGCCUUGUUCAAAAAAGGCAAAAGGCAUUGCAGUCAUGAUGAUUGACUUCAGAAGAGAGAGGAAAAAAAAACAACAAAGCAAGGCUUUUGGGGUUUUUAAGCUCAAAAAAGACUAUUAAAAUAACCAUCUGCUCUAAUCUCUCCUAUAGGCUAUAGAAUCUUAUCAGUUAUUUCUGUACAAUACCUUUACCUGCUCCUUGAAUUACAUCCUUCUGAAAAAAUCAUGUAGGCUGCAGGAUUAAAAUAAGUCUUUAGAUGAUGCAUAAUUUUUUUUUUCUGGAAUACAGGGAGUUAGAUAAUAUGAUUUUCUGUUCUUGCAGAUUGAAAAACAAUUGAAAUCUGCAGCUAAACUGUUUCCCUUCCUGAAUCUUGAAAUUCAGUUCUGCAAUUUAUUCUCUGUAAGUUGUUAUCUGAAAGUAAGGCAGGACCUGCAAAUAACACUAGUGACUGCUCAUUAACUUUCGUAGUCAUCAGAAUCUGUUCAGGGUCAUUCUGAGACCACCGAAUAAUUAGAUUUAUAAAGACAUUAGAAGGAAAAAAAAAAAAAAAAAGCAGAUAUAAGGAAACCUCGUAUUUCAUGUUCUUAAAUUAAUUCUUGAGAACUGAAGUAAUUAGUUUUUUUUUCUAUAAGAAUUUAUGUUUGUAGUGGCUUUUCACUGUACUUCCAUCAGUAGUUGGGAUGCGGUUUAAAAUCCAAGCAAAUCUAGAGUUCCUUCUUGGUGAGUAGGUUCCAUUAAUUUGCUCUCUUUAGUAAAUAGUGAAGGCCAGGCAUCUUUAAAUACAAACUUGAGCACUAUACUAAUAUAUUUAAACUGAGUAACAAUAUAUAUAACACUAAGGCCACUUCUCAUUUUGUAGAAAAAAAAAUCCUGUAAAAAUUACUAGAGUUUGUUUCUGUAUGCCAGAUCAGAAUAAACUUCUCACAUUCUUUGAAAUUGUUAUUACUCUGAAAAAUUGCUGUUAUCAGGCUGUUUUGGAAAAUUUGGAUUUUUGACACUUCCUUGCAUUCCUUGCAUGAGUUUAGUGGGUUUUUCUUCUUUUUCUGGUGUUGGUUGUUAAUUUUUUUUCAUUCAGACAAUGCCUGCAAACUUUGGUACCCCUCUUCAAAUUAGAUUUUCACAUUGAUCAUGUGUCACUUUCUAAGCUGCUUGAAAGACACAAAAAAUGGUUCUGAAGGCUAACUAAAGGAUUUGUACUUUGAAAGCUGGGUAUAUAGACACCUCAAUUUUGGAGAAAUGUGGUUGUUGAUGCAGUAUAUUACAAGUGACUAAUACUAGUAAAAUUAUCCCAGUGUGACUUUGAAACCAUUAAACCAGUCACUAAAAAUAUCUUAUUAACUAAAAGCAAUUCUUAGUAUAAGCAAAGGACAAUGAUGGAUUUUCCAGUAUUCAGUAGUGCGCAUGUGUAUGACUGACAACUAGGAAAUAAAAUUUAAGAUGGAAAAAGCUAACAAUAGACUGUGCUGGUAAAAUUUACACUGGAAUCAGUGAUGAUAUUGAGUGGGAGAACAAAGCAGGCAAACUAGAACAGUAACUAGCAUAAAAUACUAAACAUUUUAAAGCAAGAACUGCAUUUAGGUAUAUGGAAUUACAAAGUGGCAGCCCUAUUAAGUACAUUUUGAAAGUGGAUCUCAGAUGCUCUUAUUAACUAGAUACAAGAACUGAGAUAUUGUGGAGCUAUUAAGAAGACCAAAAAGGGAAUAAACAGGACAGCCAACCAAUUCUUUAUUCAUCAAAUAGCCUAACCUUCAAAUCCAUAACUCUCCAAUUUAGAGAUGAGGAUGUGAUGUUAAAGGCCUUGCAGGAAUCCAGGUAGACUGCCCCAGUUCCUCAAGUGAUGCAGAAUGAAGUUUGCUUUUUUACAUGACCUCAUUUUUUUCACAAGUUCUCGCAUUUGUGUAGUUACACAGGACAUAGUUGUCACCUGUGUUAAAGCAUCUUAAUAAAAAUAACCUUAAGUCUAAAUAACAUUAGUGUAUUUGUUGUGGUUCUUCCAAAUGUAUCUUUCCAUUUGUUGUAUAGUUGAUGUGAAAUAAUGUAUUUUUUUCAACUGAAGUGAAAUGAUUGUAUGCUAACAUGAGAAAAAAAAAGAAUUGUACUUGAGACAAAGAGAAAAGUAGCGCUAGAGCUGGAAACAGCUUAGUAUAGGUGGUUUCCAAGUCUGGAUUUCUUCAAAAUGUCAAAGAAACCUGUUAUCUUCUCUACAGUAGAUUCUGGUUUCUUGGAAUUACUUAGAGACAAUGGUUGCAGAAUCAUUUUCUGCUUGGAAGUUCCAGUUAGAGACCUUAGGUACAGGAUGAGAAAUUAAUAGUAUCAGUAUCUACAUUGUUUAGAAAACAGGGUCAAGUUGCACUCACUCAUAUCACUGGCUGUCCUUAGCUUAACGCUGUUUCAAGAUAGUGUUGAAAAUUAUGGACUAAAAAUAACCACUCUAACUGACAACUAAAUGGAAUCAGACCUUUAAGGCUGUUUUAUGUAACACAGAAAGGGAAGGAGAAGCCAGCAGACCCAGACCAAGAAGGAAACUUUCCACCAAGUUAGCAUAGCAGACUUCUAGCUUUCAUCUUGUGCAUGAGAGAGAUGCAGUUUGAAUUGCUGCCCAUGGUAAUAUCAAGAAGUAUCAGACACUUGUAAAGAAAGUCCUUUGUGACUGCUCAGGAUCAAACCGAAAUAAAUACAAAUGGAGUUUUGAUCUGGAAGAAAAUUUUCAUCUCCUCAUACUUCCCCAGGUCCUGACUGCAGCUUCCAGUGCAUUGAUCGGGGAGUACAUCAGAAACUUUGAAAAGUAAUGAAGACUCUAUGGAGACAAGAGCAUGAAAAACCAAGCAAAUUAAUUCUCCAAGACCUGAAAAAAUAAGAUUCAUAGCUCCUCCUUCAUGUUACUGAUUUCAUAUACCAUAAUGAAAAAAGACACUAACAGCUUUGAGCUUUGCCAAGAUGGAUGCUUCAGAUAGUGGUAAUUUCUUAGUUCAGGGGGAGAAAUGUAAAUUUUUAGGCUUGGCCACUGCCAUGUUCCAUCCACACUGCAGUUCAGAAUGAGCUCACAAUGUUCAGCUGACAACACGAAAAAGUAACAGAAUGUCUCAGAAAAUGGCUAUUCAUGUCUAAAUACAAAAUGCAACUUUUUGGAAGGACUUUCCUAUAAUUAAACAGGAGCUUAAUUUUGGACUUGCUUUUGUAUUUGCUUAAAACUGAAGCUUUUCCUCUUUUAUGAGAACUUCACUGUCAUUGUAUUCUUACAUGAACACUUGUUCAUGAUAUAUACUGAGUACAGGACAUAUACUUGACAACAGACAUGCAGUUUAUGUUGUAUUUUGUAGGCUCAGGAUGAGCAUUACUAAGGAAAAAUGCAGCAUAUUACUGAACUCUGGGGAUAUCAUUAAGCAUAUAAAUAUGUAUUAGUUAUAAGAAUACAUAAUUGAUAAUUGGAUAAUUGACCCUCUGUCAAUUUGCAAUGGACAUUUUAAAAUUCAAUGUGGAAUCAAAUUUACUCAUUUUGUUCAUGUUUUCUUGUCACAGCUGGGAUCUCAGUUGGCACUGAUUUUAUACUGCUUGUAUUUCAUUCACUUCAGUGGUAUUCAUGAGACAGAAGAUGAUGCAAUCAUUUUAGUUUUAUACCAUGUGGAUUAACAUGCUUUCAGACGAGACUGGUAUCUGUCUAAGGGUGACUUCAAAGUCUUACAUGCUGUGACAAACAACAUGAAGAGGAAGGACAGUAGCUGCCCCAUAUCUUUCCUUCUGGCAUUGUCUCAUUCUAUGCUUCUAGGAAGACUAAACUUUGCAUGGUACUAUGCUCUGUAACAGGUAGAAAACAAGGGGAACUCCCAACUGUUUCUUUCUAUGUUACUGCAUACUCAGUGUUUACAGUACUUAUAUAAUGGACAACAGACAUCAUUUAUUUUACAUAGAUUACUAUUUUGAAUGGGUAAAUACAAACAUAUUUCUGCACCUUCUCCUAACACCAUAUUAAGUUUCCUAAUUCAGAUGGUUAAAAAUUGUGAAAUGAAAGUGCAUAAUAGUGUCUAUGCAUGUUCACUUAUGUCCAUACCCUCCUAGAGUACCUCAGAUACAGUGUUGCACUGGUGCUGCAUCACUCCAAGAAACAUAUUUUCAGGGAAGACUGGUACAGGCAUACAAUAUAUUGUCACACUAUUGCUUCCUCGAUAAACUAAGACUGUAGGAACAGUUUGCUGUUUGCUUUUGUUCCAAAAGCAAAAUGAACAAAGUAAAUUAUGUGUCACCGUGACAAUUACAAAUGUGUACAAAGAUCGACAGGCUUGAAUGGAACUGUAAAAGAAACACGGCAAAGACAAGACAACAAAUAGAAGACUACAUGGGGAGCAGCAAGCCACACAGUGUCGGGGAAAUUAUGGACCAAAGAUUGGAAAGGCUACUUCUAUAUUGGAGGAAAAAAGAGCAGACAUACUACGUGUGUGUUAAAAGAAAACUGGUUAGCCAACUAAAUAUAUGUUAGAAUUGCAAGAAGUGGCAAUUUUCCUGCUACAUUUUUUCCUCUUUCUUAUCUUCAGAGGUUUUGUUAAGAACCCUGUCUUCAAACUGGCAGAAUUAUUGUAGUAGGAGGAGAAGCAGUCUUUUUUUUCUGUGAGCAUUUUUCUGUGGAAAGCUUGCUUGCGAGUGGGUGCUAAUAAAAAUCCUCAGACUUGUGAAAAACAAAGAGGAUAAUCUAAUGUAAUGUAGAUUAAAAUUGAGCAAGUGAGAGUUGGGAACACAAAGUUAUUUGCCACAGGAAUGAUUGGCAUCUUGAAAUUUGUUACAAACAGUCUUGUAGCAAACUGCUACUGUUUCUUACUGUAUUUUUUCCCAGCAGUUAAUCUAAGCAACAAUCUUGUGAACUAUACAUAAAUUCCCAAUAUGAUAGAAACUGUUAUGUUAUUUCUACUUCAAAAAAGAGGAAGCUGAUUUUAAUUAUUUAACACAAUUGAUUAAACAUAGCUACUGAUUACAACCUCACACUGGGUAAAGUACAUUCCCUUUAAAACGCAUCAAUCCAGUCACCUGGAUGUUUUAAGAACACUUCUCAUCUUUCCACAUGGGUAGAAAAAGGCUUCUUGUUUUGGGUGGAAAGAGACACAUACUUUGUAGCUGAUUGUUGUGGUUAAGGUAACACAGAGAAAGUCCAUGGCUAAAAAAUCUAGUUUUGGCCUUUUUGUGCAUGCACUGAUUUUGUAUUUUGUGCAUACUCUAUAUUUAAUAAUUGUACGUGUAUCAUAUGUGCACAUGUAAAUAAUAGUUCUUGAUGAAUAGUGGAAGAAGAUCUCCUUCCAACUAUAUUUGAUCUUUUUCACCCUGUUCAGAAAGCCAUUAAACUAAUCUUUACUACUUUUUGCUUUGUUUCUUAUGCAAAUUACGUAGCCACAUGUGGUCUUUGCUAUCACAUGAUAUCCUUCAACUAACUGGGAAGGUCCAACAAAUUUGAUAGCAUGAGAAUUUUCAGGAGGAGUUUGCAUCUCACUAAACAACAAGCAGCCCGAUUAUGAGCUCUAUGUCUGUAGGCAACCAGGUAUCACCAGUUCCAAGAACAAAUUUCAUUAUGUCAUAAUGUUGUACUGAAAACUGUACAAACUGUUUCAGCCAAUGAUGUCACAGGGAACUAUUUAUAGCUUUUUCUUUUCUUUUCUUCCUUUUACUGCGUGUCCUUGCCUUACAUGCAGUAAAUAAAGCAGGCAUCUCAUUCACCACUCAUCUACAGACCGAUAUGGAAAAUAUUCUCCUAUUACUGAAUAGAGAACCACAUCCCAUAAAAUGAAGUGAAUUGACCUUUACAUUCAUAAGAAAAGAAAUGUUUGCAAAUUGUUGUCUGAAACUGACUUAUUCUGGGAUAAAGUGCAAUCGAGGUGUUAUUUGUUCAGUGCACCUUCAAAUUCAGACUCCAGACUUUUCUCCUAGCAGGAGUCUGUUUCAAGAAAUAUCUUUCAACAUUUCACAUCCUUCAUCAUGU